GCAUCACCACCUGUGUGCAGGUGCCUCAACCCUGAGAGUGAGCCGGGUAAUUUUACCCAGUGCCCCAGGAUCGCAAAUUUUCUUAACUUAUUUCACGGACGCCUGGACCAGUGCACGUGUGUUUAUAAGCAGACAUACAGUAUUCAGACACAGAGAGGAAGACAUCUGUAACACGGCAGCAGUAACAGCUGCCUCUGACAUGGCACUUCACGCGUACACUUCACGUAAAUUCACCCCGAGGCACUAGUUAUGACCCGCCUGUUACAGAUGGCGAACCGAGGCACAGAAAGUCUAACCCAUUUGCAUGCACUUGAGCUACAACUAGCAAGUAGAAAAGCCAGGAUUUGACCCUGGAGGUCAAGCUCUGGGGUUCACCAUCUUAACUCUGCAGCUGCCCCUCACUGGAUAAGCCGUAAAUUCUUGCUCGUGCUAGUUCCACCGAAGGUGCCUUAUCCCCACACCUCUGCUACGGCGGUGACACGGGCCUUCCCUCCUGCUGGAUCUGAGACCAGGGCAUAGCCACGUGUUCCCAGCAUCCUGACUGGAAGGAAGGAAAGGGGUUUUAUCAUCCAGGUGAGCGACCGCAUCCCUAGCUGCACAUUAGUGUCAACCUGGGUGCUUCUGAAGAACCUAUUUGAUCCCCCACCCAGAUAAAUGAAGUCAAAAUCUGAAGGAGGGCCUAAAUGGGUCAUUGGAACCCAAUGAAAAAUGUCUCCAAGCGAUUAUAGUAUUAGCCAGCACCAAGAAUCACCAGUGUAGACCGGUACUUCUCAAGCUUUUAACGUGCAUGGGAAUCACCUGGGGAUCAUGUUAAGCUGGAGCUUGGUUUGGUAGGAGACCCUGACACUCUGCCGGUCUAGCAAGCGUCCAGGCGGUGCCCAUUAUUUCAGAAUCACACUUUGAAUGGGAAGGCUGUAAACCAGUGGUUCUCCAGGUUGACUCCUGGGGAACUCCAAGAUUUUUUCAGGAGGGCCAUGAGGCCAAAACUAUUUCAUAAUGUGCUAAUGUGUUACUUAUCUCUUCCUGUGUCGACAUUCGUGCUGCUGGUGCAAAAGCAAUGAUGGGUGAAACCACUGGCACCUUCGCACACGUUGGGACCACGGCGCCACCCUGCACUAGCUGUCACUGCCGUCCACCACACACCUGCAUGCGCACCAGGCCAGAUUCACUUAAGGACAUCCUUGACAGAGUGACCGCAGCUUGGAAUCCCAGGACCGAUCAUCUCAGAUUCCUGUGAAGCACUCUGGCGAACACAAUCCAAGAAGCUUGAAGUAGUACAGGUGUCACAGAAAGAGAACAACCACCAAGUCACCGAGCUGUUGAUGCCAAGAACUGUUCCCGCACACCAAAACCUCCAGCCCUCAGGAUCGGGCCCUGAUGAACCUUUCUCCAGUCUCGGGCAGCCGAGGGAGCCGGCCUCUCUUUUCUGAAGUGCUUGCACCUUGCCAGAUAAACCUCACUUGAGCCUUGCUCGCCGAUCCCUCCUUUCUCCGGCUGCUGCCAAGAGAACUGACCUACUUUCUCUUCCCUUGAGUUCCAGGCUAAACAGUGCUCUCUAUUUAAGGCUCCGCAUUAAUGGGGUAUCAACACCACCCUCAUUCCCUUGCAGAGUUAGAGGAGAUAAAUAAAUCCCUGACCGUAAGAGAGGCACGUGGCACAAGUUUGCUUAAGCAACUGCUGCGAGUCCUGCUCACUCAGCCGCUUGCUCAGGAAUUACAUUCUACAGGUUCCAAAGGUGGCAGGCAAACAUAGCGAGUGAGUUAAACCUCCAGGAAAAACAAUCUGUUGUCCCAGAGUCACAUCACUAAAGACUCCACUUCUGACUUUCAGUCCAAUGUUGUGGGCCGAACACACUACUUAGCCCCGUCAGAACACAGUAAGGAGAACGCUUUCUGUACCAGCAACUGUGAGGAGGCCUCAGAAAGUAAAAGGCAGCCCGGGACACAGAAGGGAGCAUGCAGGGGACCACACGCACAGACAAGAGCACCCGUCGUCUGUCUCAGGAGGCGACGGGAACCACAGCGGGCAGGAACUUGGAGGCAGCCAUCAUGGUGAACUGCGGGAAUGCCAUGGCAGGAGCAGGUGGGUGCCCCAAAUCUCCCAUGGCCCAGGCAGCAAUAAUGGGGUGUUUGUCUCCAGGAAGGAGGAGUAGGGUAGGCACUCUGGGGAAAAAGGCAAAGCAAUGUCCUAGUAGCUGGAGACAGCCAGGGGUGAAAGGAAGAAUUCAUGCCCAGGAGGCCAGUCACUAGGGCGCCCCAGUCUGUGGAAUGUCCCCCCCAAACCACACGCACACGGAAAACGGUGCUGCGGAUCCCAAUUCCUUGCAGCUGUUCCUGCGCCUCCCCACGAGCACAGCUAAGAAGACGAGAGAGGUUACAAUCAAGAAUAACAAAGUACGCAUCUGAGGAAUGUCGACAGUGAGAGACAAAAAAAAUCAACAAACCAGAGAAUUUAUGUAAGAGGACCAGUCAACAGUACAGUCAAAACCAAGAUCUUAAAAUAAGUAUAAUUAUGUAUACCUGAAAGUUGUUAAGAGAGUAGAUCUUAAAGGUUCUCACCCCCCAAAAAAGGUAGCUGUGUGAGGUGACAGAGGUGUUAACUAACCUUACUGUGGUAAUCAUUUUGCUAUACACAUAUAUCAAAGUAUCAUUUGUAUACCUUACGCUUACACAAUAUUAUAUGUCAAUUAUAUCUCAAUAAAGCUGGAAAAAAAUUAAAAAUAUAAGUAUAAUUAAUAGCUACAGAAAGAUAAGGCAGGAUUAUUGCAUCCAUAAAACAGGAUCAGAUUAUAAUACGGUCAGACAUUUAAAAAAACAUGAGUAGUUGGUUAUGAAAGAAUGAUGAGAAAUCUUGAAAAGGGAGACCACAUCAUUUAAACAAAAAACUCAAUGGAAGGGCUGCAUAGCAACAAAGGAAAAACAAGAUAGAAGAAUGGGCUCAGGAAUUCUCUCAGUACACAGGAUAAAGGAUUAG